UUGAAUUUAAUGUGGAGUUGGUUGUAGCUGGCUUGAUUGAUUUUUUUUAAAAAAGAUUUCAGGCAUGUGCACACCUUCUCUUUCAUCCACACACCCCUGUGCACUUGUGAGACAGAUUUUGGAGGGGAACCUUUAUUGGGGACUUCCUGUCUGUCUACUUAAUUCACACAAACUCAAUUUAUUUUAAAAUGAAUGUAAUUGAUGUAACGCAUCUAAUAC
rnacentral:misc_RNA from 1 species